UACGUAGGGUGCAAGCGUUAAUCGGAAUUACUGGGCGUAAAGCGUGCGCAGGCGGUUUUGUAAGUCUGUCGUGAAAUCCCCGGGCUCAACCUGGGAAUUGCCGAUGGAGACUGCAAGGCUAGAAUCUGGCAGAGGGGGGUAGAAUUCCGAACGUGUAGCAGUGAAUGCGUAGAGAUGUGGAGGAACACCGAUGGCGAAGGCAGCCCCCUGGGUCAAGAUUGACGCUCAUGCACGAAAGACGUGGGGAGCAAACGAGG
rnacentral:rRNA from 1 species